CUUUUAAAGGAUCCAAGUCUAAUGCCG
rnacentral:tRNA from 1 species